rnacentral:rRNA from 1 species
GACAGAGGGGGCAAGCGUUGCUCGGAAUCACUGGGCGUAAAGGGCGCGUAGGCGGGAUGGCAAGUCGGUCGUGAAAUCCUUCGGCUCAACCGAAGAACGUCGGCCGAUACUGCCGUUCUUGAGGGAUGCAGAGGAGAUUGGAAUUCCCGGUGUAGCGGUGAAAUGUGUAGAGAUCGGGAGGAACACCGGUGGCGAAGGCGGGUCUCUGGGCAUCUCCUGACGCUGAGGCGCGAAAGCAUGGGGAGCGAACAGG